rnacentral:rRNA from 1 species
GAUGAACGCUAGCUACAGGCUUAACACAUGCAAGUCGAGGGGCAGCAUGUUGGUUGCUUGCAACCAAUGAUGGCGACCGGCGCACGGGUGAGUAACGCGUAUCCAACCUACCCAAUACUCAGGCAUAACCCGUUGAAAGACGGACUAAUUCCUGAUGGUAUGUAUUUUUCUCAUGAAUUAUACAUUAAAGAAUUUCGGUAUUGGAUGGGGAUGCGUCUGAUUAGUUAGUUGGUGAGGUAACGGCUCACCAAGACUUCGAUCAGUAGGGGUUCUGAGAGGAAGGUCCCCCACAUUGGAACUGAGACACGGUCCAAACUCCUACGGGAGGCAGCAGUGAGGAAUAUUGGUCAAUGGAUGAAAAUCUGAACCAGCCAAGUAGCGUGCAGGAUGACGGCCCUAUGGGUUGCAAACUGCUUUUAUGUGAGAAUAAAGUUAGGUAUGUAUACUUAUUUGCAUGUAUCACAUGAAUAAGGACCGGCUAAUUCCGUGCCAGCAGCCGCGGUAAUACGGAAGGUCCAGGCGUUAUCCGGAUUUAUUGGGUUUAAAGGGUGCGUAGGCCGUUUGAUAAGCGUGCUGUGAAAUAUAGUGGCUCAACCUCUAUCGUGCAGCGCGAACUGUUGAACUUGAGUGCGUAGUAGGUAGGCGGAAUUCGUGGUGUAGCGGUGAAAUGCUUAGAUAUCACGAAGAACUCCGAUUGCGAAGGCAGCUUACCGUAACGUUACUGACGCUUAAGCACGAAGGUGCGGGUAUCGAACAGG